CACCUAGCCUCUACCCUCUCGUCCCAAGCCAAAGUCCUUCUCUGGGCCAAGACCCAGGCAUCGGGCUGCCCAGCCCUGGGGUGUGUAGGAGGAAAAUAUCCCUAUAAUUCUAGAGUUGGUUCUCGGAGAUAUGGACCACCACAGCUGCAAGGCACCAGAGAGAGCAUCCACUGGGUUGAAGACUUCCUUGCAGAUGCCUUCCUUGCAGACUUCCUGCCACAUGACAUUUGAGGAGGCCAGUUUGGUCCUGACAGUCCUCCCCAUCUUCUUUUAGAGCAACCUCUUUUUCCUGUUUUAUACAGAAUGUCCUGGAAAGAUAUUGUUUGAUUUUAAACAAAAAUACAGAAAAAACUUGUUGUGGUUUU